rnacentral:rRNA from 1 species
UACGUAGGGGGCCAGCGUUGUUCGGAAUUACUGGGUGUAAAGGGUUCGUAGGCGGUGCGGCAAGUCGGGUGUGAAAUCUUGGAGCUUAACUCCGAAACUGCAUUCGAUACUGCCGUGCUUGAGGACUGGAGAGGAGACUGGAAUUUACGGUGUAGCGGUGAAAUGCGUAGAUAUCGUAAGGAAGACCAGUGGCGAAGGCGGGUCUCUGGACAGUUCCUGACGCUGAGGCACGAAGGCCAGGGGAGCAAACGGG